rnacentral:snRNA from 1 species
AUUCUUGUGCUCGAGCGUUACAUCUAUCAGUGAGGAUUCGUCCGAGAUGAUGUUUUUGCUAGUUGAAAACUAAACAAAGACCGCUCCGUCGUGCUUAUGGUACGAUGGGAAUAUUUGGAAAGAACUAUAUGUUC